rnacentral:rRNA from 1 species
AGAGUUUGAUCCUGGCUCAGAGUGAACGCUGGCGGCAGGCCUAACACAUGCAAGUCGAGCGGCAGCGGGUCCUUCGGGAUGCCGGCGAGCGGCGGACGGGUGAGGAAUGCAUCGGAAUCUGCCUUUUUGUGGGGGAUAACGUAGGGAAACUUACGCUAAUACCGCAUACGUCCUACGGGAGAAAGUGGGGGACCGCAAGGCCUCACGCAGAAAGAUGAGCCGAUGCCGGAUUAGCUAGUUGGCGGGUAAAGGCCCACCAAGGCGACGAUCCGUAGCUGGUCUGAGAGGAUGAUCAGCCACACUGGAACUGAGACACGGUCCAGACUCCUACGGGAGGCAGCAGUGGGGAAUAUUGGACAAUGGGCGCAAGCCUGAUCCAGCCAUGCCGCGUGAGUGAAGAAGGCCUUCGGGUUGUAAAGCUCUUUUGUCCGGAAAGAAAUCCCGUCGGUUAAUACCCGGCGGGGAUGACGGUACCGGAAGAAUAAGCACCGGCUAACUUCGUG